GACGAACGCUGGCGGCGUGCUUAACACAUGCAAGUCGAACGGAAAGGCCCUGCUUUUGUGGGGUGCUCGAGUGGCGAACGGGUGAGUAACACGUGAGUAACCUGCCCUUGACUUUGGGAUAACUUCAGGAAACUGGGGCUAAUACCGGAUAGGAGCUCCUGCUGCAUGGUGGGGGUUGGAAAGUUUCGGCGGUUGGGGAUGAACUCGCGGCUUAUCAGCUUGUUGGUGGGGUAGUGGCUUACCAAGGCUUUGACGGGUAGCCGGCCUGAGAGGGUGACCGGCCACAUUGGGACUGAGAUACGGCCCAGACUCCUACGGGAGGCAGCAGUGGGGAAUAUUGCACAAUGGGCGGAAGCCUGAUGCAGCAACACCGCGUGCGGGAUGACGGCCUUCGGGUUGUAAACCGCUUUCGCCUGUGACGAAGCGUGAGUGACGGUAAUGGGUAAAGAAGCACCGGCUAACUACGUG
rnacentral:rRNA from 1 species